UCCCUUAUAGCUCAGUUGAUAAAGAAUCUGCCUGCAGUGCAGGAGAUCCAGGUUCAGUUCCUGGGUUGGGAA
rnacentral:tRNA from 1 species